rfam:Brassica napus, WGS project CCCW01000000 data, contig: 4195
AAACUAGCCACGUCGGCGAUAGCUUUUUUUGGCUGUGAUCGUUGAUGCUACAUUGGAUAUAAACAGAUGUUUGUUUCGAUUUCUGAUAGGAACCUGUUGAUCUUGUGAUCUACUGGGCCAUUUUGGCGAUUACAUUU